GAUGAACGCUGGCGGCGUGCCUAAUACAUGCAAGUCGAGCGAACAGAUGAGGAGCUUGCUCCUCUGACGUUAGCGGCGGACGGGUGUGUAACACGUGGAUAACCUACCUAUAAGACUGGGAUAACUUCGGGAAACCGGAGCUAAUACCGGAUAAUAUAUUGAACCGCAUGGUUCAAUAGUGAAAGACGGUUUUGCUGUCACUUAUAGCUGGAUCCGCGCCGCAUUAGCUGGUUGGUAAGGUAACGGCUUUCGAAGGCAACGAUGCGUAACCGACCUGAGAGGGGGAUAGGCGACCUGGGAGCGGAGACGCCGACAAGACGACUAAGGGAGGCAGCAGUAGCGAAUCGGACGCAAUGGGCGAAAGCUUUACGGAGCAACGGGGAGCGAGAGAUAAAGGCGCUGCGAGCGGAAAACUCUGUUAUGAGGGAAAAACAAAUGUGGCAGUAACUAUGCACGUCUUGACGGUAACUAAUCAGAAAGCCACGGCUAACUACGUG
rnacentral:rRNA from 1 species